CUCGGCCGGCCGGUGUGUGCCGGAGGGCGGGCCCGGGCAGGGGGGCACGGCGGCCUCCGGGCGCCUGGAGCCGCUGCUGCUCGGGGACAAAAGCGGUGGGACGGGUGUUUUGGGCUCCUUUAUUCCCAUUGCGUUUCUCAGACAAAAUGUCACACUCGGUACAAAGACAUCAAAGCUUUGCUAUGUCUUCUUGCAUCUGUUUUUAAACAUUAAGUUGCAGUAUCUAAAACGUAUCCACAUUCUUGGUUUGCUAAGAUAAGUUUCAAGCAUACUGUGGUACUUCUAGGAGUUACGUUUUGGUUUUAAAUCAAUUCCAGCCUUAUUUCCCUUAUUUGCACGAGAAAACCUGGCAAGACCCCGUUCUCUUAAAAAGGGAGUCAGAUACUUAAUACAUUAACUGUAAAAGGGAAGUAAAUAAAACUACUUAUGCCCUGGAAGCAUUAGGGUGGUGUGUUCAUGGUUAAAGAAGACAGAUUGCUAAAUGAAGAGUCAAAUAUGAUUGUGUUCAGUGCCAAAACCUCAAAAUGCAUGGUGCGAAAGCACAGCGUUACACUAGGAUCUGUAAUAUUGUGAAGGACUGAAAAGUUUUUAGUUCUGGGGCAGGGGAAAGGUGAUAUUCUUAAAAUUGUUCCAAUUAUUUCUAUAAUAAAAAUCUGAUGACAUUUUGCAAAAGGGCUUAGUUAAAGUUCAGCUUCAAUUUUACUGAAAAAAAUAUUUAAAAGUUUGUUAAGCAAGAAAAUGAUGAAAUUCCUACAGGAGGAGAUGUUGGUUUUGACUAACUGUUUUUGCAUUGCUUCAGGAGAAGCCAGCGUUGUUCUCAGUUUUGACAGCACAGUUUGACAGGGUCAGAUACAAAAGUUCUGCACAAGCAAGUAAAUUCAGCAUUUUCCUGCCCCAAAUAAAGGGAGACAGAAGAAUAAUAGUUCUGAUGAAAAGUUAAACUUCCAACGAAUGUCUUCUGCAGUUAUCAAAUCAACAGAGCAUUAAUUUCCGAUGAGAACAAACAAGCAACACCCUUGUAUUAUAUAACCCUAAUUAAAUGUCAGACCUAGAGCCAUCUUUUAUUAGGCAAAGGUUGCAAAAUACUUUCUAUUGUAAAUCAUCCUGUUAGAACUUUCCACACUUAAAUAUGUAAUUUUGUAUGCUUCCUACUCGUCAAAUAUUUCUGAGUUGUGAGGAAAUGAAAGUGUGUACUUUUUUCCCUUUCAAAAUAGCAACAACGCUGUGGAAAAAGAAGAAAAGUAAAAAAUCCUCCUGGGCAGCAUAAGAUAGAGACACAGUAAGGACAGUGGUUUAGAAAUUGGUGGUUUUACAGGUAGGAACAUUUAAAUUUAAUUUUUUAGUCAUUAGUGAAUAUCUUCAAAGUAAGAUUUAGAAAGACAGACAGCAGGAGUGAUUUUGUAGCAAUGAUGAAUUGAAGUGAAUAUGGGGAAAUAAUAGCCUUUUUUGAAUGCAGGUGGGAAAAUACCCCUAACAUUUGAGCUUGCAAGUUUUUCUUCAGGGGUUUUGAGAGAAAGACUUGAAAAACUGUUCCCCAAAGUGUUUUUGUUAUUUUUUUUUCAAUCAUAUCAGUUUUAAACCUAAUAAUGCAUGCUGCCUCUUGCACCAAACCUUCAGUCACAUGCAGAUAGACAAGAGUAUCUGCAUCUUGGGAAAUUCAUGAAUUUUUCCUUUUCUCUUCCAAAAUCUUUUUCCAGUGGAUGAGUGAUGGUAGGCCAGAGGAGGCAUUUGUACCAACUUCUGUUAUAUUUACUUGGACUAAUCUGGACUUGUCCCUUUCAUGGUGCUUCAGUUAGGAGAGAUGUCUGUCUAUUCUGGAAGCAGAGGAAGAUUUUACAGUUGUUCAGAGGCACCAGUGGUUUGGUGAGACCAAUUGGCCUUGAGGGCAACUGAGGCAAAUUAUUUCAGUCUGUCUACUUUGCAUCAGCUGGCAGAUCACCAUAGCUCAGCCGAGGGGUAGAUCCAGCUUUCAGGAUCUUUGUUGUUUUCUUCCACUGUCAGAGAUGGAGCUGGUGGUUUGGGGAGCACAUGAAGGCUCCUGUGCUUUGUGUGGCUCAGUUCUUUGAGCUCCUGCUUGCCUUGCUACCUCUUUGCGUGGGGGAAGAACCGAAGUAGCAGACGGCAGCUGGAAUUUGGAGCUGCUACCUUAUUAACUGAAUCUGUCAAAGGAGGGUGCCAAAUUCAGGAGCUGCCUUUGGCAGCUGCAGAGACAAGACUGUCUUGUGGUAGAUCACAGCGACUGAUGGGCUUGAGCAUGUGCGCAAGUGAACGUGCUGCUAAUUGCUACCACAGUCCCUGGAACCGUUUUGGCCCUGGCCAAUUAGCACCAUCCCAAACAAUGUCUGAGCACAGUCUGGGAACUAGCAUGGGCCUGGGACUGUUCCUAAUAAGCUGUGUGGAUGAGGCCAUUCUGGGUUUUGGAUUGUUUUUUUGGAGCAGGGGAGAAGGGGGGAAAGAGUUUAGCUCCAUGUAUGUGAGCUGUGCCACGUAUGCUGAGCUGCAUCAGGGGUGCAAAAGGGUACUUGAACUGUUUAUUUACUCAUAUAAAUGUAACCAUAGCAUUUGUUGCUGAAGUAUUACGGUAUUAUAUAGUAGUCACAAAAAUAUGAGAGACUAUUUCAAGACAAAUAACCAUAGCUCUCCAGAGACAGCAUGUGUGGCAAUUCCAAGUACACAAUUUACCGUGAAAUUAAUAUGCACCAACAGUCCCUUGCAGUCUGGUGCCUGAGAAAGGGAGAGAAUGAAUUUUUCUGUCUCCCAUUAUUGCCCCAAGUUUAGAAGUAGACCUAUAAUAUACUCCUACAUAGGUUUAAGUGCAAUCUAUACUGUUAUAUCCAAUUGGGUUAAAUUUUGUAAAUAUAUUCACACAUACAAUGCAAUGUCUUUAUAAAUCAUCAUGUCUUAGGUUACACCAAUGAAUUUGUAUGCAAUAACACUCUUAGAAAAGGAAAUGUUAAAUGCCAAGUUCCUCAAAAUAAUUAAAUGCAUCGAUUUUUGAGGUGACUGCAGAAGAAUCAUGCAAAGUCCAUAUUUUCAUGAAGGCUUAAACUUUUCAUUCAUAAUUCUGGCUGCAAGCUGGUCUUCUGUCACUGAUAUACUGUGAAACACUGUCCCUCAAGACUGAAAGAGUUCAUGUGCCAGCACUUGUUGUGCUGUACAGUAUGCUCACAGUUCCUAUUGUCUCACUCUAUGAGAAAGCUUAUUAGCUUAACUGUGCAUAGAGUCAUAUUUUCUCUUCACAUAUGUGAGUUGCACACAUUGUGAGAACUGGAGAGGAAAAUUUAACCUUUUACUUUUUCCCUGCAAGACUGAGGUUGCACAACUUUACUCCAUGCCCAAGCGAACCAAUUCUGGUACAAAUAGUUCCACAGUCUUGAAUAAACCACAGUUAGCAGUAACAAGAAGAAUUCUAGCACUAUUCUUUAAUGUAUUGUUGCUUUGAAUUGGUUUGUUUUCUUCUGGGUGGCAUAGAGGAACUAUGUAGGAAACAAUAGCAUCAGUCUCAAAGAUCUCGACAGCCUAACACAGCAAAGAACUGGUAGAAAAGGGGUACAACAUACAAGCAAACUGAUUAUACUGGCUAUAGCUACUUGUAUUUCCAGUUCCAUUUUGUUUGUUGGUUGUAUUGCUUUUACUUAUAGAAGCUAUGAUUUCAGUGUUGGGUAACUCCCAGAUUCUGACCCUUCAGACAUCUAAGCAUGGCAGCUUAACAUACACUGAGUAAUUCACAUCAGUUAACUUUCAUAGGACUGGAACUUGGCUUUUAAAAGACUAAUAUUAGUUUGAAAAUUUUAUCUUCGUAAGAGCUUACUCUGUAAGUAGUGACUCUUUUGUCUACAUUCUCUCCAAAAUAAUUUCUUUUGCUGAUGAAAUAUCAGCUGCAGUUAUGCUUUCAGGUUUUUUGAGUGUUUGCAGAGCGACAAAGACUAUUCCUCCUAUAUAGUCCUUUGCAAACCUUACCAUGCUUCAGGUGUCAGGAUAAAUUUAAUACGAGAAUUCAUCCCAAAUGUCCAUUUCUGUGUUAAAAGAUGAUUUAGCAUAAGAAUAUGAUGUUUUGGGAUUUUAGUAUUUAUUUGCAUUCCGUAUAUGGCAGCCAGGUUGGUAAGGAAGCAGACAUUAUUCUCAAAGUCUGUUUGAUUGCAUAUGAAAUUUAAAGUGCGGUUGGAGCUGUCUGGAUUUCAUUUCCCCGCCUCCUCCUCCCCCCCCCCUCCACCCUGCCUUUGGUAGGGGGGAAUAAAACAUCUCAGCUUAUAUGGGAGAAAAAAAUUAAAACCAGGCAGAACCAGCCCCAUUGUAAGCUUCACAUGCAAUCAAACGGCCUCGCAGGGAAACUCCCCUUCCUGGCUUCACUGCUGCCACUGGUGAACCACAAUUAAAAAAAAAAAAAAAAAAGAAAAAAAAAAAGAAAAUCACUUUUUAUACUCACUGCUUUCAAGCUAGACAUUGACAUGUGAACCAAAAUCUUCUUUUUAGCUAUUGCCCGGGAGGCCACCAAAGAAUCCCAGCUGACCCCCUGCCAUCAGAGUGAGUGAUGGUCGGCUGCUGGUGUUGCAGCUCACUUCCCCCAAGCUGCCACCCUGAGAGAUCCCACCAUCCACCGUCGGUGUGAGUGACAUUAGCCCACUGGGCUUUGAAAGCACUUUUCAGGUCGGUCAUCACGGAGAGAUAGCUUCCUUCACACACACCAUCAGGCUCUUCUCUCACUGAUCUGAUCUUCAUUUGGACACAUAAACUCAUUUUGGAGUCAGACUUCACAGGAGAGUUCAUGCAGGUGGUGAGGAACCCCGUCUCCCAUGGUAACACUGCAGAGUUGAGUUGGGCGAAACCGGUGAAGUUGACUCCAUCCCACAAUGAUGCCCUGGUGGCAUGAUCAUUCUCCUGAAAAAUGGCAAAGAAAAGAGUUAUCUAGAUCCUAACUGUUUCAUUACUGAGGAGAACUCGGGGGAUCAUGAGUGGAAGCAUAUUUACUUCUAAAUAUUCUGGAGGUCCUAAGUACAUAUCUGAAUGUGUGUCUCCAAAAGUGCACUGCAAUGAUCCACCAGCAUGUUCAGAUGGAAUGGUAUUCAUACUGGAAACAGACCAUACUAAGCCUUACCAUGUAUUUUUUGCAGUGUAAAGUAAACAGCUAUUUACUAACUUGAAGUAUAUCUGCAAAACACAUCCAAACAAAGAAACAAUAUGCCCUCAAGUCUAUAUGUUACACUACCUUUUCUGUACACAUGCUGCAGGUAAACACUUCAGGUUCUGGCCUUUCUUCCAGAUAGGAAAUGAGAAUUUUGAUUAUGCUUCUGCUGUGGGGCCUGGUUGGAUUUUACCCUGUCAGUGCCUGUGGUGCUGCUUGCUAGGUUGCUGACAGUGGCAAGUGCCUUUCAAUUAAGACUGAAGUUCCAUCAGAGCCCAUAAGUGGAGAAUGCCAGAGAGAUUAAUAAACGAAUUGUCACAGCUUCCAGACAUGCUGGGUUGGGGAGUACAACUCUUUGAGUUUGUGGGCUGUGUAAAUUUGGAGCUCUGGGUCUGCAUCUUUACAGAGAUAGACUUGGUCCCUUUUUUCUUUCUCAUAAAAUGAAUGAAAAUUAAUUUCUCUAAAGUUGAAGUCUGAAUGUGGAAAUACUCAAUAUUUUUAUAUCUUUCAUGCCAAACAUUUUAGCCUUUUUGCUGUUUUGGUGGAGUCACUAUUUGAAACAACGGCUUGAAUUGCUCUGACUAAACCAUCUGUAUGUGGGAAAAGAUUAUGGGAAACAUCCCUGCAGGGCUCUUUUUAGUUGCUCCAGUGGGCAUUAUCCAUUAUUUUUCCAUGUGUCUUGCCUUGGGGUUUUUUUGCUUUCCUUGCUGUCUUGACCAAUCUAGCUGGUACUAGUUAUUGUGUCUUUGAGAACUGUCAGUCCUAAAAAAAAUUUGCAAAUCUGAACAAUACAAUAGUUUUAAACUGUAUUUUAACUGCUUAACUCUUUCAUCUUAUUUUCUUGUUUUCACUUAAAAAUACAGACAGAAACUUUGUGCAUUUGCUAGCAUUUUCUCCACUAAACAUUCUACUUGGCACAGAAUGAAUAUUCUAGUAAUACUGCAUUCCUUGUACAGCAAAGAGUUCCACUAAAAUCAAUGGAAAAAUAGCACUUGUGGGAAAUUUUAGGGUCACUUAAGGAUCAUGUCAGGGAAAGACAUAUUAAAGAAGGAAUAUUCUGUAUUCCUGCUGACAAUUGCAUCCAACAGCUGUAGUGAUAUUGUUGUUCCUUGAAUUCUUGAGGGAAUUGUUUCUUUUUAACUGGACAUUCCUUUCUGAUUCUGGAGUCUGUAAGACUUAAAAGUAGGUGAACCUACCACUUCAUGGGAUCAGAGGGUAAUUCAACUUGGAAGGGCUGUCAGGAGAUCAUCUGCUGGAUUGUCGUCAUCCAGAAAACGUCUUCCUUUAUACCCAGUGUGAACAUAUCUUGUUUCAGCUCACAUGUGUUGUCUGUUGUCCUGCUGCCAUGGACUGCUACAAAAAGCCCGGCUCUAUUUACACAAUGACCUGCUUGUAGGUGGGAAGGGCUGCUUUGUGGUGCCCCUAUGUCUUCCUUUCUCCAGGCAGAAGCAGGUCUGUCCCUCAAGAUCACUUUGCAGGGCAGGUGCUCCAGCCUCUGAACCUCUGCUGAGCUCACUUGUCAUCAGUGCUGCCUUUGUCUACGUUGUCCAAAGACUUGCAUGACUACCUAUGUAUCUGGCUUAUCUAUGUGUCUUGCCAUGUCACCUCUUUUAGCAAUGCUUCAAAUGCAGAACUCAAAUGGUAGCAUGUUUUAGUAUCUUUUAAGUGUUUCUAGCAAUGGCCACACACCAACAUCAUCCUUGCAGUUCUAGGUGCCUCUUAAAACAUGAAGUGAUUGAAACUUAAAAUGAAGAGUACACAACAUGAAGCUCAGCAGGAGAUUAAUAGGAACACUAAUGUCUGAAUAAGAGCAUUGCAAAUUGCUAAGGGAUCUUGAGAAAUACGUUAAAACAGUUUUUCUUAUGUAAAACUGCAUUUUUGCAUGCAACCAUGCUACACAGGUUAAGAAUGAUUUUCUUUUUUUAAAUGCUGUUUUUGCUGUGAACCUCUAACAUGCUAUGAAAAAUAGUUCCAACAUUCAUUUUUAAAUAUUUCAAAAGUCUUUAAAACCAGGUGACUAAAAUUUAGUUCUUGAAUGUGAGUUCUGUGGUUUCAUUUUGAGAAGCUCUGAGUAUCUGCAGACCUCACUGAAGUACUGGGAGGUUCAAAUGCUAUUACUGAGUGGUAUUGGUGGAAAUUCAGGGGCCUUUACACAUUCAAGUCUACACUGGACCACAUUGGUAAACUCAUUAUCCUGUAGCAUCUGGUAGGUCUGAUUAGCUGUUAUCAAAGUCCAGAGUUCCUUCUCAGUUUUCUGACACAUUAGUGCUCUCCAAUCCCAUGGUGAAGUUGAACAAAUCCAUUUAAAGAUUAAGGGACCAAAAGAAUGUACCUAUAAAUUGCAGGAAAAUGAGCCAUACAUGUGUUUUUAACUCCAAAUCAGUCACUGAGCUUGCACCUUGUUUUCAUGUCAUGUUUCUCCUCAGUGUGAUAAUUUCAUUUGCCACAUUGUUUAGAAGUGAUGAAUAAAUGUGUAUUACACAGAUGAUCCCAAAUGAGUAUUACCAAAAUCCAGCCACUAAGGUCCAUAAUGAAUUUAUGUCACAGAAAAAAAUAAAUGUAUUAAAGAGU